GGACUACUGGGGUUUCUAAUCCUGUUUGCUCCCCACGCUUUCGCACCUCAGCGUCAGUACCGGGCCAGUGAGCCGCCUUCGCCACUGGUGUUCUUGCGAAUAUCUACGAAUUUCACCUCUACACUCGCAGUUCCACUCACCUCUCCCGGACUCGAGAUCCCCAGUAUCAAAGGCAGUUCCAGGGUUGAGCCCUGGGAUUUCACCUCUGACUUAAAGAUCCGCCUACGUGCGCUUUACGCCCAGUGAUUCCGAACAACGCUAGCCCCCUUCGUAUUACCGCGGCGGCUGGCACU
rnacentral:misc_RNA from 1 species